ACUGGGGGUCUGGCGGGCUUUUGACAUAGAUUGUCAAGAUUGUUUCAAUUAUACACUUGCAGUUAUUGAGGCUGAGAGAGGUGAAGCACCUUGCCUAAGGUCAUACAGCCAGUGUUCGAGCCCAGGCAGUCUAUAUGGGACCAUCCACAUGACAAACACUAUCAGAACCUGGUGAUCUGAGAGUGGGCAAAGCUGUCAACUCUGGGGUCAUUAAGAAGAAGAAGAAAAAGGAAAAGAAAGACAAGGAGGACAAAAAAGACCCCCAAAAGUCCCCUGGCCCUGGGUUCCUCGUUAGCCCCAGUUCAUGUUCCUCUUGGCGCCUGGCUCCUUUAAGAGGUCUUGUUAGAAAUACCAAAAUUGUUAGAAAUUGAUCAUCAGUGCUGUGAAGAAAAGUCAGCACAGAGACAAAAGAUCUCUCAGCAAGGCAAUCUUUACUUUCUGCAGAAAGGUUGCUCAAUCGCAGAUGGACCAAUGGUGAAAGCACACCUGAACAAAGGAAAAGCAGACAUAUUUAUCCCUUACACAUUUGGGUUGUCCUUACUGCUGUGUCCUGCAUCCAUUGGCUGGAGCGGAACCUCACACUCUUAAACUGAUACCCAAUUUGCUAAUAGCCUAAAACUUCCUAAAUAGGUUUGAGACUUAAAUACCUCUCUACUAAAAGGGAAAUGGAUAAAAAGAUGCUGACUGCCAGGCUGGUUUCGGAUCCUUUGUAUUCUGUCAGAUGAGAACACUUGUUUACCUUCCAGGACUGACCUGAGCAUGAGAUUCUACAUCCCACCAGAGACGUACUCAACUGCUGACCACGAAGAGGUUCACAUGUGUAGGCUCUGUGGUACAGCUCAGCCUUUUGGAA
rnacentral:lncRNA from 10 species